UUCACUAGCCAUUCCCCAUUUAUAUUGUUCAGAAUACUUUCAUAUCUUUACACUGAUCAUGAUUUAAGCUUGGUCAUCUAACCCAUGAAGUGGAAUCAGAACCUUCCCAACUUAACUAUUUCAUCAUCCUCUUCUUUGUACAAAAAAUACAUUACUCUUAAAAGGACAACAGGGAUGUAACUGCGACAAAUACAGUGCUGUGUCACUCAUUUCAACCAAAACCGAAACAUGUUUAGUAUUCAGUGUCUCAGCUCUUACCAUCAGCAUCCUAAAAUCAUAUUCUUUUUCCCCUUUCAACUUGAAUCGAUACCCUUGUCUACAGUCAUUUCUACUACUAGAGUUUAUGAAGAAUUAUUGACUGUAAUCUCUUUUCUCUUUUCCUGCUAUCUCAUUCUUGUCCCAUUGUGAAACGCCAUAGAUACAACACUUGGGGCAGCUUUCUGAUUUGUUUAUAUGACACAAAACUCUCAUCAUAUAUUAGUUUGCUACUAGUGAUUGAAUUUUUAAUUUCUUCGAUUAACUGAGGUGGAGCAGCAGCAACGUGGAGACAGCAAUAUCUGUAUUUUUAGAGACUCUUGGUUAAAAGAGAUAUGAGGACCCUGAUGGCGCCACUUUGACAAAUCAUCAGCAGAACCUCAUAUUGGAUCUUCCUGAGAAUUGUGGUAAUAAUUUUUCAUUGGUAUAGGCACCAUGAGUUAGUAGUUCUAUUUUUUCAUUCGUUACUGACUACAUGAGUUGGAUGUUUCAAUUGCAAUACAGGGUCUGUGAUGGGGGCAUCAAUUCACAAGUCAUGCGCACAUUGAUCCUACAUUUGAGCUUCUUGAUGACUGUUUAGAUUUAUUUUUAUCUCUCUCCGCCACUGUGACAAUAAAUCCUGUUCUCUUAUUUGCUGGAGCUGGUUGCUCGUUGAAGGUCAAAGACGAUGGUAUCUUUACCUCAGAAUUGAAUCGAGCAUUAUUUCCCUAACUCCAGCUCUGUUUUCUCGAUAUGACUACUCUGUCACAACUCUUGUUCUCAGCAAAAGCCUAAACGACGAAGCCUUGAAUUUGAUCUCCAUUAAGUGCCCGACUCUUGAACACCUCAGACACUACGGAUUUUUCAGCAAGGUGACAGAAGUUGGCAUUGCUGCUUUAGCCAUGCAAGCAACACGUUUGAAAAAAUUGUUGUGUCAAAUCUCAUGUUUAAGGCUAAAAAAUUAAAUGAUUUGGUAAAGAACGGUUUGUCACGAAGUGCUCAUAUUUGGCUAUUGGUACUGAGUUGAUUGGUCUUCCUUAAAAUCUAUAUGCUUGAAGGAUUUCUAUCACCCUCCGUGGUGCCUAAAACACUUUCCAGCACUUAUAAUUGAGUCAAUAAAUCUGAGGUCAAUGAGAUUGGUGCACUGCUCUGGUGAUUGGGAUAGAGUGACAGUCACUGAUUCUGGCCUUUCAACUCUAUGUAAUUGUUCAAAAUUGGAGGAUUGACAUAUCAGUAGAACUCCCAAGUGCACAAAGAGGCGGAACUUUAUCACUUGUGAAGCACUGCAAGUUAUUAAGGAAGCUUUGUGUUGAGGUGAAGUACACAACAAAAUAUAAGAGAAGAUAUCCUUGUUGCCAUUGGUAUAAUUAGUACUCUACAGGUUUCUGAAUUCCCGAGAGAGAUCAUAGUUUUUGGCGUGCUGAAAACGAUUGCCAGAUGUCACUCAUCUGAGGAUGGGGCGUGGAGAUGGCUAGCUGAUCUUUGGUGUUAGUUGCAAAGUAUAUCUAGUUAUAUAUUAGGAAUAUCUAGCUAGUUUCUGUUUAGUAUUUUCCACACACUUUUAUCUUUGUUCAGCCUACCUAUGCUGUGUUUGAUUUGGUUUUCGGCACUAUGAAUGGAGCCCUCAAACUUGUUGGUACAAUAUAGGUGACCGAUGUUGGCAUGGUCUCUUUAGGCAGGAUUGCCACCCAUUUGAAAAAGUUCUUGUGUCGAACUUGUUGGUUUGGAGCUAAAGCAUUGAAUGUUUUGCUCUCUCAGUCCUCUUCUCCCGAGAUAAUCACUGUCCAAAAACUCUAUGGUAUGGUAUAUUGAUUCCACUUCAGUUCUCGAGGUAAUCUCUGUCCGCAAACUCAAUGAUAUAUAUGAUUCUGAGGUGAUAUAUCCUUCCUGGUGCAGCGGCUUCUUCGUUAAAAUCAAUAUACUUGAAUAAUAUCCAUGACCCUGCCUGGCCUCGAUGCUUUCCACUACUUAUAACUGGAUCAUGGAAUCUUAUAUUACUAAGAUUGUUCUGAUGCUAGGGUGAUCGGGCAACAUGUUGAAUAUGCUUGCAAAUCGAGGGUGGAACUGAAGGAACAUGGUUUUGUUGAAAUUCCUAAGCAUAAUCAAUGUUAAAGUUGGAGACUUUAUGGUUGUCAAAUACCAGAAAGAUGUUACUCUUGUUGGGAAGAUUUGCUGAUGGACUAGCUGUAAAGAAAUUGUGUUAAAUCCAGGCAUUACCUGGUUCUCGGCACUAGCAUGAUCUAAUGAAAAUGAGGGUGAACAAGUGUAGAGCAGUGCUGAUCUGAGUAGAGUAAUUUAAUUGUUGUGGUAGAAACUAUAAUUACAUCCCAAAUCACAUGAGCACUGCAUUAUAAUUAGUUGAGACAUGAGACUAAAAGUACUGUAAUUUGCAUUCGUGCUUUUAUUCCUUUUGUUUCAAGUUUCACUCUUGGUCACACUAUUGCUGGAUA